CCUACGGGUGGCAGCAGUGAGGAAUAUUGGUCAAUGGCCGGAAGGCUGAACCAGCCAAGCCGCGUGAAGGACGAAGGUGCCAAGCAUUGUAAACUUCUUUUGUCAAGGGAUAAAAUCAGGCUCGAGAGCCUGAUCGAGGGUACUUGAAGAAAAAGCAUCGGCUAAUUCCGUGCCAGCAGCCGCGGUAAUACGGAGGGUGCGAGCGUUAUCCGGAUUUAUUGGGUUUAAAGGGUGCGUAGGCCGGACGUUAAGUGAGCCGUGAAAGGCCGGGGCUCAACCCCGGCGGGGCGGUGGAAACGGGCUGGCUUGAGAGGUCGGAAGGUAUGCGGAAUGCGCAGUGUAGCGGUGAAAUGCUUAGAUAUUGCGAAGAACUCCGAUUGCGAAGGCAGCAUACCGGCGGCGAUCUGACGCUGAGGCACGAAAGCGUGGGGAUCGAACAGGAUUAGAUACCCGUGUAGUC
rnacentral:rRNA from 1 species